rnacentral:rRNA from 1 species
AUUGAACGCUGGCGGCAUGCCUUACACAUGCAAGUCGAACGGCAGCACGGGUGCUUGCACCUGGUGGCGAGUGGCGAACGGGUGAGUAAUACAUCGGAACGUACCUUAUCGUGGGGGAUAACGCAGCGAAAGCUGUGCUAAUACCGCAUACGCCCUGAGGGGGAAAGCGGGGGAUCGCAAGACCUCGCGCGAUUAGAGCGGCCGAUGCCUGAUUAGCUUGUUGGUGGGGGAAAAGCCCACCAAGGCGACGAUCAGUAGCUGGUCUGAGAGGAAGAUCAGCCACACUGAGACUGAGACACGGCCCAGACUCCUACGGGAGGCAGCAGUGGGGAAUUUUGGACAAUGGGGGCAACCCUGAUCCAGCAAUGCCGCGUGAGUGAAGAAGGCCUUCGGGUUGUAAAGCUCUUUUGUCAGGGAAGAAACACCGGCUCUAACACAGUCCGGGAAUGACGGUACCUGAAGAAUAAGCACCGGCUAACUACGUGCCAGCCGCCGCCGUAA